CCUACGGGUGGCAGCAGUGGGGAAUAUUGCGCAAUGGGCGAAACCCUGAUGGUGCGACGCCGCGUGGGGGAAUGAAGGUCUUCGGAUUGUAAACCCCUGUCAUGUGGGAGCAAAUUAAGAGAGAGUACCACAAGAGGAAGAGACGGCAAACUCUGUGCCAGCAGCCGCGGCAAUACAGAGGUGUCAAGCGUUGUUCGGAAUCACGGGGCGUAAAGCGUGCUUAGGCGGUUUCGUAAGUGGUGUGUGAAAGGCCGGGGCUCAACCCGAGAACGGAACAUGAUAGUGCGGGACUGGAGUGAUGGAGGGGGAACCGGAAUUCCCGGUGUAGCAGUGAAAUGCGUAGAUAUCGGGAGGAACACUCGUGGCGAAGGCGGGUUCCUGGACAUUAACUGACGCUGAGGCACGAAGGCCAGGGGAGCGAAAGGGAUUAGAUACCCUAGUAGUC
rnacentral:rRNA from 1 species